rnacentral:lncRNA from 1 species
UCGGAUUUUGUGGAAUCAUACAAAUCAUUUCAAACAAAGAUGUUACAAAUCUUUUCAUACAAAUAUGCUUAUGAACUCACCAACAUUCUAUGUUGACGCUUUUCAAAAUGACUUAUAUUCUCAGGAACACAAUAAGCAGGUACUUGAGCUAUGGAUGUUGGAUAUUUUGCUGCAUUUUAAAAAUUACUUUCCAGUCACUUUUGUGUAAUUGGUGAACAAAUACAAUUUGUAAACAAUGUAAGUUUGUUAUCUAAAUGUAUGCCGUUUGGUUGCUAUGUUUCAUUCAUAUUCAAUUGUUAUGAUACUAUACAAUGACGUCAUCCGUCCCCGCACGUUUCCGCCGUCCUGGUUCAGGGGUGUGACAGAUUGGUAUCAGAGCAUUGUUUAUAGUGAAGUAGUAUAUCUAACCAUACAAGAUGUACAACUAUAAAUACAAUGGGACUAUAACACUCCUAAUAAAAAUUAUACCUUAAAAAUAUAAGUAUUUUAUAAAAUUAUACAUACAUGUGUGCGUAAUAAGGAUAGUGCCAUAAGAAAGAAACUAGUAAAAAGUAUUUAGAGGAGUUGGACGUCGUGACUAAACUUAGACAGUUAUGUAAUCAUAUCAAGGGUAAAUAUAGCUUGAUCAACUAUAUUUAUUCGAGGUAUGACCAACAUGUGUUUAGGAGUUGUCGAGGUGGAUGAUAAAUAUAAAACUUACAGACUUUGAACCAAAAGGGUAUAAGAACAAAACUAAAAGAAAUAAAAUACUAUAGGGAUAUUUUGGCAUUCUAUCUAUUUUCUCAUACUUAUAUACAUUCGUACAGACGUGAUUGCAUAUUUUCACCACCCAUGAGAUCCUUAUCCUCCAACCAGGGGAACGCGGGGUGGAUAGUGGAGGAUCCUGAGGAGGAUCUCGAGGAGAUUCCGGAGGAUGAAUCAGAGGAGGAAGUAGAUGAGGAGAUAGACGAGGAGGAGGAGGAUGAUGAUUCGGACGUAGAGUACGAAGUCAUCAACCCUCCCUACAUGGCUAGGGUACCAGCACACCGAUAGGGCUAUAAUGGCCCUACGCCCCCUUGGGCCUAUGACCUUGAGAGGUGGUGCCGACAUCAGGGGAAACACCCACCUUUCGGGAUGGAGCAAGGAUUUUACGACCUUCGCCAUGGAGGGACCGCGGACCAAGCCCUCCCCGUUAUGGUUCGGAGGAUUUCAGACAUCGGAGACCAGGCCCAGACGAAAUUCCACCGAGUCAUGGAGAUGAGGGUUGCUAUGGAGGUCACGGCCGCACGCACUCGUGAUCUCGAGAGGGACUUUUACCCUAUGGAUCGGCUCGUCGAGGACCUGACUACCGCGCGAGCAGAAGUGAGGGAAUAUAAGGAGAGGCAUGCUGCCCUGGAGGAGAGGGUGCGGGUAGCCGAGCACCGUUUGGCCGAGUUGUAUGGCGCCUCUACAUCAUCCCAGGCACCGCAGGGGACGACUCAACGUGAGUAGGAUCUAUCCUACUCACCAGAUGAUAGACUAGAUGUUUGGGUAUGCUUUAGUGCUACCCUUUUUCUUUUCUUUUAUGUAUGUAGGACCGACCCUACGUCUAAAUGAUUACACUACUCGUAGGGUCGUUAUACUGUCAGAUUUUAUCCUUUAUGUACUGUUGACCUUUUCAUUUUUCUCACAUUAUGUACUAAAAUCUUAUAAUUAAUGAAACAAAUAUGUGUUUUAUUUUUAUAUGUUGUUGUCUGCUAUGUUUUCUAUAUUCAUUUUUAUUUUAUAAAACAAUGUUUCAAUUGUAUGCACAAAAUAACGUUCGAUAAUUACUAUACCUGACAUAUCUAAACGCGAUGUUUCAUUACAAUAGUAUCUGCAUCAUAACCCUUAUCAAAAACUUAUCAGAUUCCACUUGUGGCAGUAUAAUCCCGUGGCAGUAUAAUCCCGCCUCAGAGAAACAUUCGACGCAAGAACAACGAGGCAGCACCACCCCCGCCGCUGCCUCCACCACAAAUGGAUUCGACCGCAUUCCAGGUGGCAGUUUCAUCUGUAGUCACUACGGCUCUGGCACAUAUCAACAACAAUGGUUCCAAUGGAGGUGGAAGUGGGAAUGGAAUGGGCAGUUCUAACCAUGGGGUUAAUCAAGGGCCUCAACAAGUAUGCUCAUAUAAAGACUUCACAAACAGAAAGCCAAGACCAUUCAACGGAAGCAGGGGUGUCAUAGCCCUAACUCGAUGGUUUGAGAAGACAGAAUCAGUCUUCGAGAUUUGCGGAUGUUUAGAAGAAAGCAAGGUGAAAUUCGCAACAUGUACAUUUGCUGAUAGAGCCCUUUCGUGGUGGAAUGUCCACAUCAAGGCUUUAACAAUCGAUGGCUUGGGAGGACCUUAAGACCAUGAUGCUGGAAGAGUAUUUUCCUAGAGGGGAGGUACAGAAACUUGAGCAAGAAUUGUGGAAUCUCACUGUAAAGGACUCCGACAUUGAAUCUUACAUUGUCAGGUUCAGCGAUUUGGAAAUCUUGUGUCCGGGAAUGAUCACCUCUGAAAGUAAGAAGGUUGAACAUUUCCUUUGGGGACUAACUCCCCCAAUUCAAGGGAAUGUGAUCGCUGCAAACCCAACAACAUACGACAGCGCCAAACGCCUCGCGCUAAAGCUAUAUGACCAUGGGGUACAAAAGGGCACGAAGACUUCCGUCAUUGAACCGAAGAAAGGGAAUGCUAACAAGAAUAAUACAGGAAACAAGAGAAAAGGGAAACGCACUCAGGAAUCCUCCAAAAAGCAACAAAUAGUGGCGGUUCACGCCGCUACUACUCCUACUACAUCAGCUCCAAUAAAGCAAUAUGCCAGUAAUUUGCCAAAGUGCGACAAACGCCCCUUCCACCACCACGGAGCCUGCAGAGAGAUGAAAUGCAGAACCUGCAACAAGAAAGGGCACACUACUCGAUACUCUAAGUCACCGGAACAACAGAACAACCAACCCAACAACGUUGGGGCAAGUCAAGCAUGUUAUGGGUGCGGAGAGGCUGGCCACUUCAAAAGAAACCGUCCCAAGGACAACAAUCGGAAUACAGGGGGAACAAGCAGAGUUCUAGCGAUAGGACAUGAGGAGGUUGUAAAGGAUCCAGCAGUAGUCGCUGGUACGUUCCUCCUCAAUAACAUCUAUGCAUGCAUUUUAUUUGAUAGCGGGGCAGAAAGGAGCCUUGUGAGUCAUAGGUUUAAGCACUUUCUCAACCAAAAUCCUCAAUCAUUAAACGAAACAUUUACUGUUGAAAUGGCUAACGGGAAAACAGAAACAACCAACGAUGUACUCAUAGGGUGCAUACUAACUUUAAAUAACCACUCCUUUCUAAUCGACUUAAUGUCGGUUACUAUAAGGAGUUUUGAUGUGAUCAUCGGGAUGGAUUGGUUAUGCCCGCACCAUGCUCAUAUUAUGUGCUACGAGAAGGUCGUUCACCUUCACUUACCCAACAACGAAACUGUAGUUACAUGUGGCAACAAACCCGAUAUAAACCUUCGUCUCAUCUCGUGCAUUAAAGACCAAAAGUGUUUACAUAAAAAGAACCAUGCGUUCUUGGCUCAUGUGGUCGAUAAAAAGAAGGAAGAAAAGAGAAUCAAAGACAUCCCAGAGGUGUGUGAUUUUCCCGACGUGUUUCCCCAAGACCUUCCAAGAAUACCUCCCGAACGACAAGUCGAAUUUAAGAUCGACUUGAUAACCGGAGCCACACAAACUGCCAACUCGCCAUAUAGAUUAGCUCCUACGGAGAUGCAAGAGCUUUCCAAUCAAUUAAGUGAGCUGUUGGACAAACUAUUUAUAAGGCCACACUUCUCACCUUGGGGAGCUCCGGUCUUAUUCGUGAAGAAGAAGAAGGAUGGUUCGUUUCAUAUGUGUAUCGAUUACUGUGAACUCAACAAGCUCACCGUCAAGAAUCAAUACCCUCUUCCCCGAAUUGACGAUCUAUUUGACCAGCUGUAAGGAGCAAGUUACUUUUCGAAGACAGAUUUCAGGUCUAGUUAUCAUCGAUUGCGAGUCCAAGAGGAAGAUAUUCCCAAGAAUGCCUUCCGAACUCGCUUCGGUCAUUUUGAACUUGUGGUAAUGCCCUUUGGUCUAACAAAUGCACCUACAACAUUUAUGGACCUGAUGAACCGAGUCUGCCGACCCUACCUUGACAACUUCAUGAUCAUCUUUAUCGAUGAUAUACUCAUCUAUUCACGAAGUAAAGAAGAACACAACUAACAUCUACGAAAUGUUUUUGAAACGCUAAGGGCGGAGAAGCUAUAUGCGAAAUUCUCCAAAUGCAAGUUCUUGAUCCGCAGAGUGGAUUUUCUAGGCCAUGUGGUCAAUGAGGAGGGAAUACAUGUGGACCCUUCCAAGAUCAAAGCAAUUGAAGGUUAGGCAACCCUAAGAACCCCAACGGAGAUCAGACAAUUCAUAGGCCUCGCCGGUAACUACCAGAGGUUCAUACAGAAUUUCUCUAAAAUCGCCAAGCCGCUCAUCGCUUUAACCCAAAAGGGUGUACUCUUUAUCUGGGAGAAGAAACAAGAAGCUGCGUUCCAAACCUUGAAACAAGCUCUAUGCAGCGCCCCUGUCUUAACACUCCCAGAAGGGACGGAAGAUUUCAUGGUGUAUAGGCUAGCUUCAGAUCUGGGGUUUCUUGGAGAGAACACGGUAGUAUGUGGAGUUGACUUGAAAACAUAAAGAUAAGUGAAAGAAAGAAGGUGAGCAAAAGCUUAUGUGAAAUCUUAUCUGGAGGGUGGCUACCAGAAUAGGUGGAAUUGAUGGAGAACAGUUAAAAGACGUAUUAAAAAUAGAUGAAAUCAAUCAAAUCAAUAAAUUCGCUGAUCAUGGUCUUCAUAGUGAAGGAGGUGUCUGUGGUGACUGUGGUAAUGGGUCACCGGUAAGUGAAGAAAAAAGAAGAAGAGUGUUUCUAGUUAUGGCGAUAGUAGCUAGGGUUACCAGAGAGAAAAAGGUGAGUAUACAAAUUUUGAAAUGAAAAGGAAGCGUGAGGGAAAAGGUAUCCGAGAUGGUCGAUCCGUGUGAGUGUCUUUCUGCGAAGCCAUCUUGGCCAUUGGAAUAAAAAUGGAGGGUCAACAUAUCACCCCCUUGAAUUUUAAGACUUUUGUCUUAAAAUUGGUAGGGACCACCAAGAUAUAUGUUUUAUAAAGUGUUAAUAUAAGUAUAUGUAUGUAUGUAUGUAUGUAUGUAUGUAUGUAUAUAUAUAUAUAUAUAUAUAUAUAUACACACACACACACGUGGUUUAACAACAAACAACGAAUGUGCAUGGGGUUUUUAUUUCUUUCUAAAGAUGUCUACCAUUGAAAAUAAAGAAGUCAGUCAAACACAGGUGUAGGUCAACAAAAUAUUAUAGCUCAAAAAAUAUUAGAAUGAUGUAUAGUAGGAGUGGAGUAUGGAGGUGUCCAGUUCUUGAUUAUAGUGAAUAUAUAGAGCAUAAGCAUCCGAGGAAAAGAGGGGAAGAAGCGAUGAAAAAGGCAUUGAACACAAAUACAUCUAUGACUAAACAUAACUUUAAAGAAGAAAUUGCAGCAAUUAUUUUUCUAUUUUAGCUACUAAAACUAGUACUAACUUCUUAGUAUUUGUAAUAAUAAUUGGAGUAUUCAGGGGUGUGGGUUAGGGAUAAGACUCGUUACGGUACCGGACCAUCGUAAUCGAUCCGAAACUAAAAAAGCUAAAACAAAAAAUGCAAAUUCAAGGAACCGAUAACAAAACCGAUUUUCAUACUUGGUUCUUAUGCGGUUCUGGACUGAACCGACUCGAAACCGAAAAAUAAAAAUUCAAGGAAUCAAGAAUCGAACCAAAUGUGCUUAUGUGUACAAAACAAUUUUCUCUAUGUAACCUUGCAACAUCAAAUUAGUGAAAUUCAAACUACAAUGUUAUUUGAAUACAAAUGAGCGUACAUUGAGAAUAAAGUUGAAAUAGCCUCUUACAAGCCCAAAACUCGAUCCAAUAGCUAAGCCUAAUCAAUUUCGGGACUUGACCCAAGAAUUCUCGGCCCAAACACUGUAGGCCGAAAACCCAUUUCCUUUGGGCCUUAUUGGACCAAAAACUCUCUUAUUCGGCCCAAUUAAGUCCAAAAGCUCAUACACACUCAAAACUGAAAACCCAAUUUAGAACAUAGGGUGUUUUAUAAAGUGUUAAUAUAAGUAUAUGUUUGUAUGUAUGUAUAUAUAUAUAUAUAUAUAUAUAUAUACACACACACACACACGCGUGGUUUAACAACAAAUAAGGAAUGUGCAUGGGGUUUUUAUUUCUUUCUAAAGAUGUCUACCAUUGAAAAUAAAGAAGUCAGUCAAACACAGGUGUAGGUCAACAAAAUAUUAUAGCUCAAAAAAAUAUUAGAAUGAUGUAUAGUAGGAGUUGAGUAUGGUGGUGUUUAAAAAAACCCUAAUAGAAAAAGCUAGAGAGAAAGAGAGAGAAAAAAAAACAACUUACAAGUCCGACAAGAAGAUCAGGAUAUUAGGAGAUGUCGUUGAUUCUCUUCAAACUUGUUUUGGAAUUUGGAUAUGGUGUCCAGUUCUUGAUUAUAGUGAAUAUAUAGAGCAUGAGCAUCCGAGGAAAAAAGGGGAAGAAGCGAUGAAAAAGGCAUUGAACACAAAUACAUCUACGACUAAACAUAACUUUAAAGAAGAAAUUGCAACAAUUAUUUUUGUAUUUUAGCUACUAAAACUAGUACUAAAUUAUUAGUAUUUGUAGUAAUAAUUAGAGUAUUAACUUCUUAGUAUUUGUAGUAAUAAUUGAAGUGAUGAAAAAGGCAUUGAACACAAAUACAUCUACGACUAAACAUAACUUUAAAGAAGAAAUUGCAGCAAUUAUUUUUCUAUUUUAGCUACUAAAACUAGUACUAACUUCUUAGUAUUUGUAAUAAUAAUUGGAGUAUUCAGGGGUGGUGUGGGUUAGGGAUAAGACUCGUUACGGUACCGGACCACCGUAAUCGAUCCGAAACUAAAAAAGCUAAAACAAAAAAUGCAAAUUCAAGGAACCGAUAACAAAACCGAUUUUCAUAUUUGGUUCUUAUGCGGUUCUGGACUGAACCAACUCGAAACCGAAAAAUAAAAAUUCAAGGAAUCAAGAAUCGAACCAAAUGUGCUUAUGUGUACAAAACAAUUUCCUCUAUGUAACCUUGCAACAUCAAAUUAGUGAAAUUCAAACUACAAUGUUAUUUGAAUACAAAUGAGCGUACAUUGAGAAUAAAGUUGAAAUAGCCUCUUACAAGCCCAAAACUCGAUCCAAUAGCUAAGCCUAAUCAAUUUCGGGACUUGACCCAAGAAUUCUCGACCCAAACACUGUAGGCCGAAAACCCAUUUCCUUUGGGCCUUAUUGGACCGAAAACUCUCUUAUUCGGCCCAAUUAAGUCCAAAAGCUCAUACAUACUCAAAACUGAAAACCCAAUUAAGAACAUAGGGUGUUUUCGACCACCCUAAAACCAAAAACCCCCUUGAGAUGCCUCUAAGGCCGAAAGCCUCCUAGGAUUUCUGUUGGGAGUCAAGACAAACAAAAAAAAAAGAAAAAGAAAAAAGAAAAAAAGAGAGAAAGAGAGAGAGAGAGAGAGAGAGAGAGAGAAAAGAUAUGGAUUAAUGUUAACACCUAAUGUCUUUACAUCCUAUUACCCUUCAUGUUCCCACACAGUACAAGCCUCUAUCUUCCAUGCAUCCAUGCAUGGCUUUCAAUUGUCAAACAUACAUCAAGGAAGCCAUCACUCCCCCCAUUUAAGGGAGAGAUCGACCGAUCCCACACACACACACAUCAAACAAAUUUUCACUCAUUUGCUCUCAAAAAAUUCCUCACAUCCCUUCUCUCACAAUUUCGAGCAUCAUCACCACAAAAUCGGUCCUAGUCGUUUUGGUAACUUCCUUAUGAAACUCAAAGUGUUUUUUAUACAUGUUUGUUUUAGGAUUAUUCCAUUUACACACUCAUUUCGUGUGUAUGAAACUUAGAACACUUGAAAUUUUCGAGAAUCUCUCCAAGCUCAAGGCUACGCUCAACAAAUUCUUUCUUCUUCUUGCUAUCAUAUGAAAUCAAGGGGUGCUUCAUACCCCCAGCUUUUCAUGUUAUUCAUACUUUUCCGGGGGGGGGGGGGGGGGGGAUNNNNNNNNUCAAGUCUCGUUUAUCCUUUGGAUAUUUGCAUGCACUAUCAUUUUAUGUAACAGUUUGUGCUUAAGAUGUUGAAUAACUCAAACUAACACACCAUAAACUCGUGAUAUACAAGCUUCAAGUAUGAUAUUUAUCCUUUGGAUAAUUGCAUGCAUUGUUUAUGUGUUGAAAAUGGAACAAAUAUUUUACCUAUUCCGACACCUGAAGAACAUCACAUAGGCUUAACAGUCACAUCAAGCAUGGUUAUAAUAACUCACUUGGGGGUUAACAAUACUAUCUUGAUUUACGAGAAGUUUACAAUAGAAAAUAUAGGAUUUUCUAGGAACAUACAAUUACAAACUAAAGAAAACAAAGGACAUGCAUGCAUAUAUUCAUAGUUUUGAAAUGAGACUUACAAACCAUUUUCAUAGAAAAUAUCGGAUUUUCUGGAAUCAUACAAAUCAUUUCAAACAAAGAUGUUACAAAUCUUUUCAUACAAAUAUGCUUAUGAACUCACCAACAUUCUAUGUUGAUGCUUUUCAAAAUGACUUGUAUUCUCAGGAACAAAGUAAGCUGGUACUUGAGCUAUGGAUGUUAGAUAUUCUGUUGCAUCUUGAAAUUACAUUUCAGUCACUUUUGUGUAAAUUGUGAACAAAUACAAGUUGUAAACAAUGUAAGUUUGUUAUCUCAAUGUAUGUCGUUUGUUUGUUAUAUUUCAUUCAUAUUCAGUUGUUAUGAUACUAUACAAUGACGUAAUCCGCCCCCAGACGUUUCCGCCGUCCUGGUUUGGGGGUGUGACAGGUUUUGAUUCCAGUUUGGUUCUUUGGUCAUGUCGUACAUCCUUAAUGCAGGUAUGGAUUAGAUUGGUGGGUGGGUUGGGAUUAAAUAAGGAUAAGGGUAGGUGUGUAAAUGGGGGUGUGUGUGUGUAUACAGUUGGUGAUGAGUGUAAGUGUAUGCGGUUGGGACAUGGUUUGAGUUGUUGGUGAUGGGUGUUUAGUGUAGGGUAGAUGUGGGAUUGUGUGUAGAGGGAGGGUGGGUGUGCCAAGUGUAUAAAAUUUACAACCCUUACAAGCCUCAUAAAGAGGUGGUCUUUUACAACAUAAAAGCCUUGAAAAUGCAACAUGCAACACUUUUUUUAUUUUUGUAUUAAAAUAACAUUUAAUUUAUUAUUUAAUUAAUAUAUUAACUUUACAUACCUCCAUAUCAUUUUUGGGUUUAAUUUAUUAUCAAACUAGGUGUGAGACCCAUGUAUUACAUGAGUUUAUUUAAAAAAAUUAAAUAUAUAAUUUUAACAAUUUGAAAAGUUUGAAUUUUUAAGAAAAAUGAGAAAUUUUUUGAAUUAUUAAAAUUAAUGAGGCUUUAAUGUAUUGGAUACAUUACAUAUAUAAACCCUUUCUAAUAAAUACCUUACAUAUUAAAUGUGGAAUUUUAAUUUAAUAAAAUGAAAAUACAAUAAAAUGACAAGUGGAAAAUAGAAAUUUUAAAAAUGUUAGAAAACUAUGUGUGAGACCCGUAUAUUAUACGAGUUAAUUUCAAAAAAUUUAAACAUUAAAAUGUAAGCAGUAAAUAUUUUUUAUGUAAAAAUUUAAAAUAAGAAAGAAAGAAAUAUAUUCAUUGCAAUUUAAUUUCAUAUAUAUUAUAUUUAAUACUUUACAUAUAUAAAUAUGUGACUUUAAUUUUAAAAAUUAAAACGAACCAAAAAUUGACAAGUGGAUAAUAUUUAUUUCAAAAAUACUAUAAAAUGACAAGUGUCAAAACUAAUGAGAGAUUGACAAGUGGUAUAAAAACCUUCAUUUAUUAGAGGAGAUUAAUAUAUUAACUUUACAUACCUCCAUAGCAUUUUUGGUCCAUGUGCUUUCCCCAUAUCUGAAUUUUAGUCCCUAAGUAACAAAAAUUUCAAAAAUGGUCCAUGUGUUUUCAAAAAAUUUGAUGUUUGGUCCUUUUUGAUAACUCCGUUAGCUUUUAGUCGUUAACUAUUAUUUGAUUAUAUAUCCGGAGGGCAUUUCCGUCAUUUCACGAACACAGGGACCAUUUAUGAUGUUUUGUCUUAUUUAAAAAAAUAAGCAAAAAGAAAUUUAUUGUUUAUCUCUCUCUCUCUCUCUCUCUCUCUCUCUCUCCCCCCUGUUGAUUACACAUAAUCGUUUGUCUUGUUCUUGACAAUCUAAUCAAGUUCUUCAACACAUACACACAAAGUUUUGAAAGUACAGGGAGGGACAAGGACAAUCUGUGAAAUAUUUGAUAAAUAUUUGAUACUUAGGGACUGGGAAAAAUACAGGGACCAAAAAUGAUGUUUUUUCAUUAAGUAAUUUAGUUAUUAAAUGAAUAUAUUAUAUAAAGAGAAUUAGUUAUGACAAAGUACACAAAAUAUCAUAUAUUUUGAUUAAAUUAUAAUUUAAUACAUAUAACUUAAAAUGUAUUCAUUAUAAAUAUAUAUUAUAUUAGUUAUUUCGGUUUACACGGACUAUCACAUAUUUUAGUAAUUGUAUAUUGAUUAAAUUAUAAAUUAUUACAUAAAAUUUAAUAUUUAUCUGUUAUAAAUGAUAAUAUGUAUAUAUAAUCGAUGAUUAUCUGNNNNNNNNNNNNNNNNUUUUCUUUAUCUAUAGAGAGUUCAUACUUAUAUAAUUAAAAUAUUUAAAACAAAUUUUGAAAUAUUAUUUUUAGAAAACAACUAGUUUUGUUUUUAGAUAACGUAUCUGUUUGUAACAAAUUUUAAUACUAGUUCUUAUGAGCCAUCUAGCAUCAUUAAUAUGAUUAUUGUUUAAAAUCGUACCUAGAUUAGUAGGUUUAUAAGAAUCUUUAAGAUUUUGCUCAGAGUUAUUUAUAGAUUCGUGGAUUUGCUGUAUUCUUAAAAGAAUAUUUCUAUUAGGAAUACAAUUCAUCAAGAUUUUCUUAGACAUAAUUAAAUAAUUUAAGCAUGAGUUUAAUUAACUUGAUUAUUAAAAACGAGCACUAUUUUAACAAAAAUUUCAAAUCUUGUAGAAUUAAUAGUUAGAAUAAUUCGAAAUGAAACUAUCAUGGAGAAAAAAAUUUAAUAAAAAGAAUACAACGAUAAAAUAUUUAGAUAGUACCUUCUUGAGUUAAGCUUGAAUUACAAUCAAUACAUACAUCUGGAGAAUGAAUUAUUUGAAAAUCUAGAGACUUUGAACAUCUACUAGUAGAAAGAAAGACUCUUGGAGAUUUUUUAGACAUGAGAUGAACAUUUUUUAAAGAAUGAAUAUUUUCUUUCUUGCCUCUUCUCAAAUAUGAUGUCUAUUUAUAUUCAUCUUAAAGUCUUCAAAGCCUUGAAAUUCUUGUAGUGAAAUUUUCCAUAUGAUCAAAUGGCCAAUCAAUUACUUGUAAGUGGUUGUCACUCAUCUUUUGAAGAAUUUGUCGUUUGUAAUCAAUGAAUAUCUUCUUUUGAUAAAGCAUCCCAUUAUAGAGCAUCUUCUAAUGUUUCUUGUCUUCAUAUUAUCAUUGAUGAUAAGAAUAAAUAAUUUUGAUAAUAAAUUUGAUAAUAUUUGUUUAUACACUAUAAAUAUAUAUAUUGUGUAUACUCACACAGUUUAUACACACUCAUAUUUGAAAUAAUAAUUUUGAUAAUAGAAGAAACGAAAUACCUUACAUUGAAGGUAUUACACCAAAUUUAAUGAUAACAAUUUCUUAUUUUUCAUAAGGAUUAUCAAAAGGGUCUUGAAAGUCUCUGGAAAUAAAUCAUUUUUUAUUGAUUUUGGAGAAUCGUCUGAAACUGAUGGAGUUUGGCAAAUUUCUUGAAGUAGCUUUUGAAGUUCUUCAGGAGAAGAGGUAGCAACAUCUUUAAUUCUUGCAAUUAGAUCCACAUCACUUUGAGGAAGACUGUUGAUAAAAGUGGCUUCAACCUCUGGUUUUUGAAUAUAUAUUUCUUGAUAAUGUUUAAUUACUGCUUGUUCACUGGCUUGAGAAAUCUUCAUUUUAUCCCACCAUUUUGAGCGAAAUUGGUGAUUAAACCAAGGAGGAGAGGAAUCCUUUGAUUCUUGAUAAUAAAAACUCCAAGACAUUAUCCAUGGAAGUUUAAAUAUUAUGGUGAAUUGUAACAUACAUUCAAAUUCUGGAAUUUGUUGAAUAAAUAAUUCCUUAAAUUUGAGAUAUCCAGCGUAAAUUUCUUUUGGUAUACAAUUUGGAAGAAUUCUCAUACAUUUGUACCAAUUGAUAAACCAUCUUGGAUAUUCACAAUUGAAGUUCAAAUCAAAGAAGAUAAACCAUGAGUGUGAAUAAUUCUGAACAAAGAAUGUCUUAGUCUAGACAUCUUGAUAUUCAUAGUAAUAAAAUCUGAGAUAAGCAGGAUAACUUAUAAGAGGUUUUUCAGAGUGAAGGUUUGGAACCCAACUUUCUGGAGAGAUGAUUUUAAUAAUAUGAGCUUUGCUAAAAUCAAUGUUUCCCUCUUUUGAAUUAGAACGAUGAACAAAAUUAACUAAACCAGAUUCUUGCAGAAUAGCUUCACAAUAUUCUCGAGUUUUGUAUGAAUCAACAUAAAAGGUUUUCCCUUAACCAAAGAGAUGAUUUGUGAGAAUAUGAAAACCUUGAUGUAACUUAUGGAUUUGAAAAUCUUCAAGAAUUUGAACUCUUAAGAAAUUUAGAUUAAGAACAUAAGGAAUUUUUUUAGAAGGGCUAGGAGUAACAGAUUUUUAAGUUUGAGGAGUGAUAAGUUUUGCCAAAGGGCUUAUCGUGUCGGUUGAAGUAACUUUUGGAGUAACAAGUUUUGACUGAAGGAUAUUAGAAUAAAGUUGUGAAUUCUUAGAAGUAGGAGUUAAAGGAGAAAAACGAUUUUGAUUUUGAAAUGGAACAAACUUUAGAGAGACUGGCUUGUUGUCAUUAUGUUUGGAAGAGGACGAUGAACUCAUUUUCCCUCCAAAAUUUCUCGAGAAAGAAAGUCAGGAAGCGAAUUAUUUUCUCCUUUUAUUAAUUCUAUCUUCAUAUCAAAGUUACCUAAGAGGGCUUGCCAAGGAGCAAAAAUUUGCUUGGAAAUAAUAUUUUUCACAUCUUUUUCUAAAAUAGUUUUUGUAGAUUGACAAUCUAUUUUUAAUAAAUUAAAUUUCAUAAAUAAAUCAUCUUCGAAUUUUUUAAUACAUAAAACAAUUCUUAAAAUUUCUUUUUUGACAGUUGAAUAAUUUUUUGGUGUAUCAUUCCAUGGACCAGAGUAAUACCGAACCAAUUGUUCCUUAGUUGAGUUAAUAAAUUUUUGUUUUAGAAUUCCUCCGAAUCCAAUAUCACUAGCAUCGGUUUCAACUAUGAUAUUGGCAUUGGGAUGAGGUAAAUUUUUAUCUUUUAUAGAAUCAAGAGAGUUUAAAAGAUCUUUAUCAUCUUGUGAAAGAUAAAAAUAUCCAAGAAUUAUUAAUAAAACAGAUGCUUAAUAAAACUAAUAACAUAACUCUUGCUCAUAAUGAAAAUUUUAAUUUAAAAAAUAUAUAUGAAAGAUUUACUGAAGCAAAGCCAAUUUCUAUGCAAGAACUUCAAGAAGAAUUAAAAAUAGUAAAACAAAAAAUAAAAGAAUUAAAAAAUAAAAUUUUAAUUUUAGAAAAAGAAAAACCUUCUACUUUUAAAAACAAAAAUAUAUAAAUUAAUUGAAAAUGUAACUAUUGGUAAAAUUAUAAAUAAUCAAGUUUCACAAAAAUGAAACACUCAAAUUACUUUAGUCAAGGAUAAUUUUAAAAUCAACCUAACUACUUUAAUUGAUAGUGGUGUUGAUAUGAAUUGUAUUCAAGAAGGAUUUUCCCUACACAAUUCUAUGAAAAAACUGCAUCUAGACUUACUGGUGCCGGAGGUACAAAAUUAAUUGGAAAUUAUAAAGUUUCCGAUGUUCAUAUAUGUAAUGACCAAGAUUACUGCUAUAAAACUCACCUAAUUUUAGUAAAAGAUCUCUCUUCUCCUUUAAUUCUAGGAACGCCUUUCAUUAUAAAACUAUGUCCUUUUAUGGUUCAUGAUGAUGGUAUAAGAAACAAUGUUUUUGGAAAAUAAAUUAUAUUUAAAUUUUAUGAACCUCCUUUAUAUUCAACAAUUAAUGUCCUUAAUUAUAAAACGUAACAAGCCAAAUAUCUUAUUAAUGAAAUAAAAUAUGUUCGAAUAAGUAAUCAACUAAAUGAUAAUAAUAUUAAAAAAAAAAAUAACAGGUUUAAAAUUAAAAUUUGAAAAAAAAAUGUUUGUUCUAAUAUUCCUAAUGCAUUUUGGAAUACAAGACAACAUAUUGUAAAACUACCAUAUAUAAAAUUUUUUAAUGAAAACGAUAUUCCUUCAAAAUCUAGAGUCAUUCACAUGAAUAAUGAAUUAGAAAGUCACUGUAAAAAUGAAAUUCAAGAUUUAAUAAAUAAAAAACUCAUAAGACCUUCUAAAUCACCGUGGUCUUGUUCAACAUUUUAUGUUAUGAAUGCCGCAGAAUUAGAAAGAGGGUCACCAAGAUUAGUUAUCAAUUAUAAACAUUUAAACAAAGUUUUAGAAUGGAUUCGUUAUCAUAUUCUUAAUAAACGAAAUUUGCUAAAAAAGCUUUAUGAUUUAAAAAUAUUUUCAAAGUUUGAUAUAAAAUCAGGAUUUUGGCAAAUACAACUUCAUGAGGAAAAUAAAUACAAAACUGGUUUUAAUGUUCCCUUCGGGCAUUUUGAAUGGAAUGUAAUGCCUUUUGGAUUAAAAAAUGCUCCUUCUGAAUUCCAAAAUAUUAGGAAUGAUAUCAUAACUCCUAUAAGUAGUUUUGUCUUUGCUUAUAUUGACGAUGUCCUAAUUUUUUCAAAAUCAAUUGAUCAACAUUUUAAACAUUUAAAUCAAUUUCAUGAUUUAAUUUAUCAAAAUGGUUUAGCUGUCUCUGCACCAAAAAUGCAUUUAUUUAAAAAUGAAAUUUGUUUUUUAGGACAUGAUAUUGUCAAAAAUACUAUUAGACCUAUUACAAGAAGCUUGCAAUUUUCUACUAAAUUUCCUGAUGAAAUUAAAGAUAAAAAGCAACUUCAAAGGUUUUUAGGAUGCUUAAAAUAUAUUCAUGAUUUUUUCAAAGAUUUAGGGAUUAUAUGUAAACCGCUUUAUAAUAGAUUAAAAGACAAUCCUGAACUAUGGACUCAAAAACAUACAGAUAUAAUUAAAUAUAUAAAACAAAAGGUUCGUACUUUGCCAUGUUUAAAUUUACCUCAUCCCAAUGCCAACAUCAUAGUUGAAACCGAUGCUAGUGAUACUGGAUUCGGAGGAAUUCUAAAACAAAAUUUUGUUAACUCAAUUAAGGAACAAUUGGUUCGAUAUUACUCUGGUGCAUGGAUGGAAUGAUACACAAAAAAAAUUAUUCAACUAUCAAAAAAGAAAUUUUAAGAAUUGUUUUAUGUAUUAAAAAAAUUUGAAGAUGAUUUAUUUAUGAAAAGUUUUUUUUUAUUAAGAAUAGAUUGUCAAUCUGCAAAAACUAUUUUAGAAAAAGAUGUGAAAAAUAUUAUUUCCAAGAAAAAUUUUGCUCGUUGGCAAGCCCUCUUAGGUAACUAUGAUUUCAAAAUAGAAUUAACAAAAGGAGAAAAUAAUUCGCUUCCUGACUUUCUUUCUCGAGAAUUUUUGCAGGGAAAAUGAGUUUGUCGUCCUCUUCCAAACAUGAUGACAAGAAGCCAGUCUCUCAAAAGUUUACUCCAUUUCAAAAUCAAAUCGUUUUUCUCCUUUAAAUCCUACUUCUAAGAAUUCACAACUUUAUUCUAAUAUCCUUCAGUCAAAACUUGUUACUCCAAAAGUUACUUCAAUUGACACGAUAAGCCCUUUUGCAAAACCUAUCACUCCUCAAACUCAAAAAUCUGUUACUCCUAGCUCUUCUACAAAAACUCCUUAUGUUCUUAAUCCAAAUUUCUUAAGAGUUCAAAUUCUUGAAGAUUUUAAAAUCCAUAAGUUACAUCAAGGUUUUCAUAUUCUCACAAAUCAUCUCUUUCGUCAAGGGAAAACCUUUUAUGUUGAUUCAUACAAAACUUGAGAAUAUUAUCAAGCUAUUCUGCAAGAAUCUGGUUCAGUCAAUUUUGUUCAUCGUUCUAAUUCAAAAGAAGGAAACAUUGAUUUUAAAUAAGCACAUAUUAUUAAAAUCAUCUCUCCAGAAAGUUGGGUUCCAAACCUUCACUCUAAAAAACCUCUUAUAAGUUAUCCUGCUUAUCCCAGAUUUUCUUACUAUGAUUAUCAAGAUGCCUGGACUAAGGCAUUCUUUGUUCGGAAUUAUUCACACUCAUGGUUUAUCUUUUUUGAUUUGAACUUCAAUUUUGAAUAUCCAAGAUGGUUUAUCAAUUGGUACAAAUAUAUGAGAAUUCUUCCAAAUUGUAUACCAAAAGAAAUUUACGCUGGAUAUCUCAAAUUUAAGGAAUUGUUUAUUCAACAAAUUCCAGAAUUUGAAUGUAUGUUACAAUUCACCAUAAUAUUUAAACUUCCAUGGAUAAUGUCUUGGAGUUUUUAUUAUCAAGAAUCAAAGGAUUCCUCUCCUCCUUGGUUUAAUCACCAAUUUCGCUCAAAAUGGUGGGAUAAAAUGAAGAUUUCUCAAGCCAGUGAACAAGCAGUAAUUAAACAUUAUCAAGAAAUAUAUAUUCAAAAACCAGAGGUUGAAGCCACUUUUAUCAACAAUCUUCCUAAAAGUGAUGUGGAUCUAAUUGCAAGAAUUAAAGAUGCUGCUACCUCUUCCCCUGAAGAACUUCAAAAAUUACUUCAAGAAAUUCGCCAAACUCCAUCAGUUUCUGACGAUUCUCCAAAAUCUAUAAAGAAUGAUUUAUUUGAAGACGCUCAAGACCCUUUUGAUGAUCCUUAUGAAGAAUAAGAAAUCAUUAUCCAUAAAUUUGAUGUAAUACUUUAAAUGUAGGAUAUUUCGUUUCUUCUNAUUAUUAUUUCAAAUACGAGUGUGUAUAAACUGUGUGAGUAUACACAAUAUAUGUAUUUAUAGUGUAUAAACAAAUAUUAUCAAAUUUGUUAUCAAAAUUAUUUAUUCUUAUCAUCAAUGAUAAUAUGAACACAAGAAACAUUAGAAGAUGCUCUAUAAUGGGAUGCUUUAUCAAAAGAAGAUAUUCAUUGAUUACAAACGACAAUUUCUUCAAAAUAUGAGUGACAACCACUUACAAGUAAUUGAUUGGCCAUUUGAUCAUAUGGCAAAUUUCACUACAAGAAUUUCAAGGCUUUGAAGACUUUAAGAUGAAUAUAAAUAGACAUCAUAUUUGAGAAGAGGCAAGAAAGAAUAUUCAUUCUUUAAAAAAUGUUCAUCCCAUGUCUAAAAAAUCUCCAAGAGUCUUUCUUUCUACUAGUAGAUGUUCAAAGUCUCUAGAUUUUCAAAUAAUUCAUUCUCCAGAUGUAUGUAUUGAUUGUAAUUCAAGCUUAACUCAAGAAGGUACUAUCUAAAUAUUUUAUCGUUGUAUUGUUUUUAUUAAAUUUAUUUCUCCAUAAUAGUUUCAUUUCGAAUUAUUCUAACUAUUAAUUCUACAAGAUUUGAAAUUUUUGUUAAAAUAGUGCUCGUUUUUAAUAAUCAAGUUAAUUAAACUCAUGCUUAAAUUAUUUAAUUAUGUCUAAGAAAAUCUUGAUGAAUUGUAUUCCUAAUAGAAAUAUUCUUUUAAGAAUACAGCAAAUCCACGAAUCUAUAAAUAACUCUGAGCAAAAUCUUAAAGAUUCUUAUAAACCUACUAAUUUAGGUACGAUUUUAAACAAUAAUCAUAUUCAUGAUGCUAGAUGGGUCAUAAGAACUAGUAUUAAAAUUCAUUACAAACAGAUACAUUAUCUAAAAACAAAACUAGUUGUUUUCUAAAAAUAAUAUUUUAAAAAAUUGUUUUAAAUAUUUUAAUUAUAUAAGUAUGAACUCUCUAUAGAUAAAGAAAACUCUAUUAAAUACAAACAUUAAAAAAUGGUAUGUUUUCUCUAUAGAUAAAGAAAACUCUAUUAAAUACAAACAUUAAAAAAUUCUCAUGCAUUUGAAACCCUUUUUUUAACUUCCUCAAACCACAUUCAUUUGAAAACCCCUUUUUUUAACAAAUGCAGCUUAAAAUUUUUCUUAAUUAUGAUUUAACACUCAAAAGUUUUAUAACUUAUAUUAUGUUUAAUUAGCAUUUAGUGAAUAGUUUACUAUAAAAAGGUCAAUAUUUUGGGAAGACAUGCAUACAGAUCAUAUACAAAUUUCAAAAAGAAAACAAACUUAAAGAUUUUUAUGUUGGGUUGAGGUCUUAUGAAAUAUGCUAUUAUAUUAGAGCUGUUAACUUAAUUUGGAAGUUUGUUAUACUAAUUUGUUUUUAUAUUUUCUUCGUUUUUGGAUUAUUGUAAUACAGUCGCUGUAUAUUGUGGUUUAAUCAUUAAUAUAUUGAUCAUGUUAUAUAGUGUGAUGUCGAAAUAUUUAAUUAAAUAUUUUAAAUAUGUUUUUUUUUUGUUUUGUAAUUGUAUCGUUUCAAAAAGAUAAUUAAUUAAAACUCAUACAUAUGUUAUACUUUCCAUCUCUCUCUCUCUCUCUCUCUAUAUAUAUAUAUAUAUAUAUGUGUGUGUGUGUGUGUGUAUAUAUAUAUAUAUAUAUAUAUAUANNNNNNNNNNNNNNNNNNNNNNNNNNNNNNNNNNNNNNNNNNNNNNNNNNNNNNNNNNNNNNNNNNNNNNNNNNUAUAUAUAUAUAUAUAUAUAUAUAUAUUAUAAUAGAGGUCAAAACACUUCAACCAAAAUUCAUUUAAAAUCUAUAUUUCAAAUGCUUUAUAAUAAUGAUUGUAAAAAUUUCAACAUGUUUUACUUAAUUGAUUGAUUAAUAAAAAUAUUAGUGUUUUGAAACUCCUAACUCUUAAACUUAUAUUAUAUAAUUUGUUAGUUAACUAAAAUAUUUUUCCUACAUAAAGAUAACAUUUUUAUGUUUGGUUAUCCAUAUUUGUUGAUGUAAUUAGAAAACAAGGUGUACAUAGAAUGACUACUUCAAUUUCACAUAGGAAUCGAUACCACUAGAGAGGUAUGUUGUCUUUAACCAGUGGUAGGAGAUCGAUAUACCAUUUUUAAUUAUUUAUAUUAAUGCUUAGUAAUAUCUAUUUUAUAUAUUCCUAUUCACCUUAAUUUUUUAGGUACAAAUUAAGGAAGAGGAUUAUCAGCGCACCAAUGUAAAAUCAAACAUACGCCUUGCAAAAUAUGUAAUUAAAAUUAAAUAUCAUAUUUACUAAUCGAUUUAUUUUAAAACUCUUGAUGACAUUUAUGUAUAAUAUAACGUCUGUAGAUCAGGGCUAGUCAAUUUAGAGACGAUAGGCGUCAAAAAUAAAUUUUUGAUGAAAGAUUAUUUAGAAUGAAUAAUCUUAACUAAGUUAUAGUAUAUGUUACAAGGUUUUCGUGCAUAUAAAGAACGCCGAAAUCCAAGUUAUAACGAAGAAGUUAUGACCUGUCGAAGUUUCGCGACAGAACCGGCACGACACAACGCGACGUAAAAAGUGAAUUUACGUUAGAGCAAUAUUUAGCCUUAGCAAUCUAAAUGAAAGUCGUAGAAUACGUUAAACCAUGAGCGUGCAUAAAAAGAACGCCCAAAUCUGACUUCGUAUGAGGAAGUUAUGAUUUUUCGAAGUUUUGACUUAGCGGUAUGCAGCCCGAAUACUCGAUUUGAGACCGAGCAGUUUUUAGCCAAAACAAUCUAAAUGAGAAUUGAAGAUCUCAUUAAUUGUAGUAAAACGAUAAAAAGAUAGGCGAAAACGGACGUCGGAUGAAGAAGUUAUGAUUUUAUAACGGAGUUUUCCUGUCCCGGCCUACUAAAAAUAAAUAAUAAAAAUAAAGUCAAAAUUAGCCGACGGAGUCUAAACGAAAGUUGUAGAUCGUAGUCUCACCUACGCGUGGAUAUAAAGAACGUCGAAAACGGAGUUCGUAUGAGGAAGAUAUGAAUUUUUGAAGUUUAUUAAAUAUUUUCGAAAUUAAAUUUAAAUAUAAAUUUUCGAUAUUAUCCAAGGGGGGAGUCACCGGGCUUAUCCAGGUUACGCCCCGCGUAACUUAAGAGUACGCCCCGCGUAAAUCGCAGAUCCAGACCCUAUAAAAGGGAGUCGAGUGCAGCCGAUUCAAUUGCUCAUUUCUCUUCUUUCUCUCGCGUUUUUGCAUCGUUUUUCGUGCAAGAAUUAUCCCGAAGCCCCGGUAUCAUUCCCGAGCCCCGAAGCAAGUCCCGAGGCCCCGAAGAUCCCGAGAAGUGAAAUUCCCGAGCCGAAGCUCUGCCCGCGAGGAGUCCGGUUUUUGUGAAGAUCUUCCAGAUCUGCCGAAGAAUACUACUUCUACAAGUCGUAGUGCUGUCCGAUCAUCUUCUGAUCAAGUGAGUGUGUAGUUACUUUCUUCUAACNNNNNNNNNNNNNNNNNNNNNNNNNNNNNNNNNNNNNNNNNNNNNNNNNNNNNNNNNNNNNNNNNNNNNNNNNNNNNNNNNNNNNNNNNNNNNNNNNNNNNNNNNNNNNNNNNNNNNNNNNNNNNNNNNNNNNNNNNNNNNNNNNNNNNNNNNNNNNNNNNNNNNNNNNNNNNNNNNNNNNNNNNNNNNNNNNNNNNNNNNNNNNNNNNNNNNNNNNNNNNNNNNNNNNNNNNNNNNNNNNNNNNNNNNNNNNNNNNNNNNNNNNNNNNNNNNNNGUGUUAUGUGUAUAAUUUUUGUUGUUAUGUGUGUGAAUGUAUAUUCACUUUCUUCUAUCUCAUAGAUCUGAUUUAUUCUCUAUGAAAUACGUGUUAUGUGAGUGUGCCUCAUCUGUUAUGUGGAAUAGGUAUUGAAUGAGAAUGUUAUACAGGUUUUAAACUAUGUAUCAAAAUAUAUAUUUUUAUCUACUAAUAUGUUGGGUGGAACAUGGGUAGAUAGUUGAUGUGUGAGAAACAGAUGAGAGGCCCCGAUGUUGUUGUUGUUGAUCUAGUUAUUCAGCGAGUAUGAAUUAGACCAAGAGGUUAAUUUUAGAUCCGGGAGUAUGGAUCAGGUAAAGAGAUAAAACUUGUUAUUAGUCCGGGAGUAUGAAUUAAGACUAAGUUAAGUGUCCCUAGUCCGGGAGUAUGGAUUGGGCACAGUUAUUGAUCCGGGAGUAUGGAUCAGAUCAGGGUUAGGGUAUAGUUAAUUGUACUUAUUCCGGGAGUAUGGAUUGGGUACAAUUAUUGAUCUGGGAGUAUGGAUCUGAUCAGGAGGUUAGUUUUAGAUCUGUGAGUAUGGAUCAAGUAGUUUUAGAUCCGUGAGUAUGGAUCGGUGAAGAGGAUAGUUUUAGAUCCAUGAGUAGGGAUCAGGUAAAGAGGAAAAUUUUAGAUACGAGAGUUUAGAUCGUGUCAUUGUGAGGAUCGAUGGGGUGGGUUAAGAGUUGCCUUUAUAUCGUGAAAUUGUGCAAGUUUGAAUGUUCUAUAUUUAUAAAUAUAUGAUAUAACAUUGUGGGAUGAAAACCCUAUAUGCUCACCAGGCUCCCAAGCCUGACCCACUCAGUUUUCUUUGUAUCACAGGUAUUAAUACGAAGACAUAUUUCACAGAGAGAUUUAAAGGAGAUAUAAAUCAAUUGUGUAAUUAAAUGUAAGUUCUGUUUAUGCUUAUAUGUCUGUAUCGGAACAUGACAUCCCGAGGUUUUAUUAUUAAAUGAAAAAUACAUUCCCUUUAAGAAAUGUUUUGAUAAGUUAUUAUCAUGUCUUGUUUUGGGAACAAAUUCUGCAACCAUUAUCUUUAAAAAGAGUACUCUGAUUUUAAAAAACAAAUAAUAAACAAAAUCGAUCUUUUCUGGCCGUGAAAAUGGGGAUGUCACAUAUAAUGAUAUAUUUUGUAUGACUUCAUUCUUACUUUGAAUGUUUAAUAUUUGAAAGUUCAUAUAUGAAACCUUGGAUGUUUUGGUGUAAUAUAAAUAGUGUAAUACAAAGUCUAUUAGUUCAAUAUUGUUUAUUAAUAGCUCAUUCAAAACUACUUAUUUCUUAUUUUAUCCAAAAAAUAUUAUCGGAUAUAAGAAAAGUAAACUAUAUUAAUGUUAUACAAAAACUUAUAAUAUAUAUUGGAUAUUAUAAAAGUAAAAAUAAAGCUUAUAAGGUAUGGACUAUAUAUUAGAUUGUAUCAAAAUAUAAAUUGAUGGAUUUUUAUGUUUUUUGAUAAUUCGGUUAAUACACAAAACAUGACUAAAAACGUAAAUUUCAACAUAUUUCUAUUUUUUCCCAUAAUUAUUUUAACCACUUAAAUGUAUUCUUGCACAACGCACGAGGUUAUGCCUAGUAUAUUUAUAAAGCUAGCAUUUUUCUUUUCACCACAUUCAUUUGAAACUCACAUGCAUUUUUUUUUCACCAUAUUCAUUUGAAACUCCCAUGACUUUUCAAUUUCUUUCUAAUCAUAAUUAUAAUUUGGUUACUUAGGUUAAAUAAAUAUCAAACAUAAAGUGUAAUCAUAUAUAAACUUAAUUUCAAUAUUAAAAUAAUAUAUUCACUUCUACUUAUAAAAUUAUGUAUAUAUGUUUGUAUGUUUGUGUUGCUUCAAAAAAAUAAUUAAUUAAAAAUAAUUGAUAUGUCAUAUUAUCCAUAUUAUCCAUGUAAGUCUCUUUAAAAAUUCAAAUUGUCUAUCUUAUCACUUUAUAUUUUAGUAUAUGUUUACUAUUUUAAUUAUAAUAAUAAGUGUUUUUUUAAAAGUUUUCUUUCACUUAUUAAUAAUAAAUGGUCUUAAAAUUAACUGACAUUAGUUAUAAAUAAUAAAAACAAAUUAUAAAAAUCAUGGAUAUGUUAUAUUAUCCAUGCAUGACUCACUUUGAAAUGCAAUUUGUCAAUCCUAUCACUUUAUUAUUUAGUAUAUGCUUCAUAUUUGAGUCUUCUUUAACUUAUUAAUAACAAUAAGUGGUUUAAAAUUAAUAAAAAAAAUUUAAAUGAUAAUAACAUCAAAUUAUAAAUUACAUAACAUUAGCUACAAAUAAAUUGUAUUUAAAUGAACAUCAUUAAUGAAAUUAGAAAAUAAUUGCAUAAGUAAAAACACUAUGUUUAUGUUAUUAUUCUAUAAUGAAUGUUGUAUAUGUCUAUUGUUGAAGUAAUUCUAAUAUGAAUAUUAACAUUUGAUUAUUCAUUUAUUCAAUAGAAUGUUAUUAUUCUAUUAUAAAUUUAUGUAUGUGCAUUUUUGUAGAAAAUUCUAAUUUUUGUUUUACCCCGUGACUAUUCAUUUAUUCAUUGCUGAAUAAUAACAUAAAGUUGUGGAUACAAAAUUCAUUGCAGAAUAAUAACAUAAAAAUAAUGUUUUUACGUUCUCACAUUAUUUACUGUUUUUAUUUGAACUAUCCCCUAUAUAUAUAUAUAUAUAUAUGGUGGGUGAAUAGUCAUUAAGAUAAUCAUCUAUUGAUUAGGGAUAAUUUAAUGUAAACCUCCCGAAACCAUCACCAAGAUGACUACAUAAUUCAGAUGAUUCAAAAGGCUAUCAGGGAUUUAAACCAAACAACGGAUGAUUCAAAAGGCUAAUGUAAUCCAAACAACGGAUGAUUCAAAAGGCUAAGGCUAUCAGGGAUGUAAACCAAACAACAUCACAGUCAUGUACAAUAAAAGCAAUAACAAUGACUAGAAUUAAUUGGUGACACGAAACCAACAAUGAACUGUCGUUGCCAACGCCAAUAUGACCAGUCAAAGACAAAAAAAUUGGAAACCUACAAAGAUAUCGAACAACAUAAUUUGAAACCAAAUGUGUAUUAGCCUAGCGUUAUCAAUAUUUGACCGAUAACAUAUUAAACAGCAACAUAGUUUGAUACCGAUUGAGUAUUAGCCUAGUGGUAUCAACAUAAUUUCAAGUCUCAAGUUGGGAUGAAAUGUGUAGAUUUAAUAUUAGAACAACGAGUGCAUGUGUAAACCGUUAAAAUAAUUAAUUUUCAUUAUGAUCCCUAUUUAUGUCAAUUAAUUAUUUUAACGUUAUGUAUUUUACUGACACUUAUUUUCAUUCCUUUUUGGUCCUUACGUCCAUGAGUCCAUUGUUAGUUUUUUACAUCGACUUUAGACAUCGAAUAUUACCGAAUGUCAAAUAUACCCUUAAGUUUCAUAUAUAAUUUUUGAGACUAACAGAGUGUUAAUGCUCUGUUUUAUCAUUCGAUGUGAUAAAUAGUUUUAUUAUUUAAUAGUUAGCUUUUAUUAUUAUUUUAGUUAUUUCUAUAUUGACAUAUUUCCACGAUAGGCUUCAAUUUUGCCAUUGAUGCUGCAAUGCAUUUUAGACCUCAAGACUAUCUUGUAUACCAAAUCUCCACGGUAUUUUAUAUGACAUUAUGUAACNNNNNNNNNNNNAUAAGUUCAACAAGAUAAAAUAAAACAGGUUGACAAUGUUUGAUUGGACAAGGAUUGGGACCUAUGUCAUUGUGACAAAAAUAGUCCUGGAAAACUUGUCCAUUCUUGUGUAACAAAUGCAGCCUAAUUGACUUAUAUUUACAUGAAUCUUGAUUUUGUUGUUGGAACACAAUACAGUAGGGUUUGGAUGUGGUGCAUGGGUGUUAGGGUGCAAAGUCACUCUUGGAUGUAGUGUUUUAGGCUUACCCUCUUGUAUGUGUAAAUAGGUUGAGUCUUUCCUAUAAAUAGGAAGUGAGUGACUCUUAUUAUGAAAUGAACAAUUUGGAGUGUUAGACUAGAGAGAGAAACUUUGCACAAAUCCAUUUGUAUAUUCUUUCUAGAUCUAAUAUGAGCUUACACAUAUUUAAUUACUCCUUGUGUUCUUGAAUUUACAUGAUGAUUCACUAGAUCUUUCUAAUUCUGCACAUGUCAUCAUAAUCUACACCACUACAUUUCGUAUCAGAGCGGGUGUUCUUGAUUGGAUCAAGAAUUGAUCCUUGAUGGCUAUCUUGAUUUGGUGAUUCUUCAUGUUCUUAUUGAUCUUCGUGUUUUGAGAGUGUUCUGUGUUCUAGAAAUCGAUUUUUUCCUUGAUUUGAUCCAUAAUUCGAUUUUCUCUCUCUAGAAUACUUGUUUGUAUCACUUUUUCUCUCUAGAAAACUCAUUCAAAAUCACUUUCUCUCUCUAGAAAUUUUCAAGUUCUUGUGAUCAUGGUGAAUUUGCAUUAUGAUUCUUGGGUUGUGAUCGUUGAAGAUGUCAAAUACAAAGUCAAUGAAGAUCAGUUUUAUGGGUUAUUGUUAAACCGGUUGAUUUCAUGGGAUACUAUGGUUUCUUAUGGAGGCUUGAAAGAUGAUCAUGGAAUGUUAAUUUUUCAACGACUUGGGGAGAUUGAAUUUUUAAUCACAAUCGCAUUGUACAUGUUAAAUCGUAAUGGAAAUCAGAAGGAAGGAAAAGAAAGAGAUUUGUUUAAUAAGAAAUACAUUUCUCUUAUUGAAGACCCAAAUGAUCUUCUUGCUCUUAAGGUUUUUGAAGUUCAAAACAAUGGAGUUCAAUGUGAUGUUCUUGAGGUUCAAGAAAAAGGAGUUCAAGUUGAUUUUCAAGAUGAAAUUUUUUUUUGAAACAUCCUUUCACGACUCUAUUCCCAUCUCAAUCCCCUGAAGAUCCUCAACCAAUAACUUCUCAAGCUCAUUCCGAUGAUGAAACCUAAGGAGGUGGUUUUGGAGGUACAUUUGAAGAACUUCAUUUCGAUUCAGAGGAGGAGAUACCUGACCACAUGCUUAUGUCGGGUAAACAAUUCAAAAUCCUUAAUCGCAAGUUAAAUACCAUCCUUCAGUCACAAGCUGACUCUGGUGCAAAGCAUUCGCUUUCUGGUAUGGAGGUUGAUGCGAUGAUAAAAGCACCAGAAAUAAGACAGAAGACUGCUUGAGAAGAUAGAUGGUAAUGAUCAAAAUAAUGAGUUUUGGCUUAAAGCUCAAGGGAAAAACUUUGAUGGUGCCUUACAAGAACUGAAAAAUGUCAGAAAAGAACGUCAUGUUCUUUUUGUCCAAGAUGUCAAGAAAGUAAGGGAGGACGUGAACUUGAAAGUCGAAGAGUUAAAGCAAGAGAUUGCAAAAGAGCUUCAACAAAUUACUUCGCAAAAUUCGAUAGUGCAACAACGUGUUGAUAUCGUGGCUGACGCACUCACAAAAAUUGUUAAAGACUAUCAAUCAACUGCGCCAACUAUCGAAGCCAAGAGCAAAGAUGACAAGGAGCAGUUCGCUAAGCUCAUUGAGUUAUUAGCUGAACUAAAGGGCAUUGUGUCAAAGCCUACUCCUCAGACAAUUUUGACUCCUGAAUUCCUAACGCUAAAAGUGAAUUCGUUGGAGCAGGCAAUUCAGAAGGCUUUGGCUCCUAUAACAAAUUUUACUUUGCUUUUGCCGAAGAAUGCCCCACCUGCUUUCACAGGGGUGCAAGGGGGAGAAGUAAAAGGAAGUAAAGGGGAGGAUGGAAAAGUUGUUGGGAAAUUGCAUUCGACUCAACUAAAAACGACAUUACCUUUGAAGACCAGCCCAAUUCCUUCAACAAUAGUAACAUCAAAACCAAUUACAAAAUUAAUUCCUAAAGGAAUUAAAAUUGGUUCAGCAGAUAAAGGAAGUUCAAGUGCGAAGCCUGAUACUUCAAAUAUUGUGAAGGGAAAAGGUAUUGCUCAUGAAAAGUCGAAGGAAGAGAAGAAAGCUAAAAUUGAUGCUGAAAUAGAGAAACAGAGGCAUAUUCAAAGCAUUCUGAGGCUAAGAGAAAAUGAUCCACCAACAAUGAACAAAGGAAAUCCUGCAAAGUGAUACUCAUUUGAAACAAUUGAAUCCAGAGUAUUGGGGAACCACAUGUAUGCAUUUGAGAAAAACCAAGGAGAAGCUAUGCCACUUCGAACUCAGACAUAUGUCAACUAGACUUCCCAAUUAAUGAAAUGAUGUUUAUCACUUCACAGUACAAGGUCAGUGAAAGAUUCAAACAUCCUGAGGAGUACACUUACUUGAAAAUUAGAUUUCAUGCUGUACUUGGGAAAAAUCAAGAUGAAGUUUGGUCCCUGGUAAAGAUAAAAAGAGUGAUGGCAAUCAAGAAAGAUGUAAUGUUCGAAAAUCUGCUUCAGAACUUUUGUUACUUUGUGGUUCGAGCAGACAAUAAACCAUUUGAUUUUACAAUUGCUGACUUUCCUUUGAUGAAUCUCAAUGAUCUCAUUCAAGUGGCCCUAAUUUUGAAGGAUAUGGAAGAAACCCAUCUGAAGGAAACUGAUUUAGAUGUGUUUAGACUUGGUUUAGGGCAUCUCAAGAUAUUCAUAGAAAAUUACUAUGAUUGCUUGGCCUUAACUGAUGAAGAGCUUGCUUCAGGUCUUGGAAGAAAGGGUAAUGUUUCUAUGGACCCUACGAAGCCUCAACAGGAGUUGAUGAAAUAUGCUGAUGGUGAAAUUUGUCUCAAACCAUUUAGCAUGGUAUUCGCAGGGAAAGACACAAAGGGAAAGGCACGAAGAUUCUUGUUUCAAGUUGUUGAGAUCGAAAGAUACACAACUUUGCAAUAUACGAACUUUUUUGUUCGUAUGAAUAACUGCAACAAGAGCAAUGAUGAAGACAAGAAGGAACUGAAGAAAAUAAUCACUUGGUACUCAUAAAUUCGAAGGACAACGCACUCUAUUGCUCAAGUUCUCACUAAUUGAGUGACUUCGACUGUUUACAAAAGGGGAGAAUGUUGAGUCAUUUAGUUGUAAAAGUCGAAGCAUUGUUUGUUCUAUUUCGCAUGUAUUUAUUUACUAAGUCUUUUUAUGUCGAAGCUUAAUGUCUAGACUUAGUAUUUUUUGUACACUCAUGUUUCCUAUAAAUAGGGGUUGAGGAUAGAAGUAGACACACGAGUCUUUCUGCUUAUUUUGUAAUCAGUAUUGUAUUAUAAUUCUUUGUUUAAUACAAACUUGCUGAUUAAUAUUUACAUUUGGUGUUCAUAUCAUUGAUUACUCAUUCAUCUAGAUCAUGAUUGCUUUCUAAAUCUCGAUUACAAUUCUCAUCAAUGGGAAUUUAGAUUAGUUGGGAGAAUGGAGUUAAUAUUUUAGGAGUUAUGAAUUAUAAUCAUGGAACAUGAAAGCCCUAUAAAUUGACAUUUUUUUCCGCUUUUCUUGAUUUUUAUUUUAUUCGAUGAUUUAGACCGUGUUCUUAAAGACAAGACUAUCAUUUAUGAUAUGAGCAGUCAACAAAUUGAACGGGCAGAUGGUAAUUGUAAGUUUNUGAACAAUUAGUUGGUGUUUACUUCAUUUCUGCUAUCUCAAGACAUUCAAAAUUUGAAAAUCUACAAACAAUGAACAUAAUUUAAUAUUUUAUUUUAUUUUAUAUUAACUAAAAAUUAUUCAUUUUUGUAUAUAAAGUUAGAGCUACCAUCUGCCCAUCCGAUCUAUUGAACAACCAGAUCAUAAACAAUAGUCUUGACUUUAAGAACAAGGUCUAAAUCACAGAAUAAAAAAUAAAAAUCAAAAAAUGCGAAAAAGAAAAUGUUAAUUUAAAGGGUUUUCAUAUUCCAUGAUUAUAAUUCAUACCUCCUAAAAUAGUAACUCUUUCCCAACUAAUCUGAAUUCCCAUGCACCGCACCCCAAGCCCACUAUAUUGUGUUAAAUAUAAGUCAAUUAGGAAUUGAAACUUUUCUAAAGGAAAAUGCCCUAUGGGACAUUGGAGAAAAGAAGAACCAUUCAUUCCUUUAUAAUACUUUUUGCUACUUGUUUACUAAUUAGAUCAAAACUUUGGGCUAAAUGGGAAUGGGUUGGAUUCAGUAGGGCUGGUAAUAUGUACCAUGGAAAACCAACCAAGACGUUACCAACCAUACCAAAUAUGUUUGUAACCAAUAUGUUUGAUGGGUAGUACCAAUACCAAUUGAGUAAUCAUGGUACAAUAUUGGUACAAUGUUUUCAAUACAAAUGUAAUAUCAUACCAACCAAUUCCAUUAUAUAUAUAUAUAUAUAUAUAUAUAUAUAUAUAUAUNNNNNNNNNNNNNNNNNNNNNNNNNNNNNNNNNNNNNNNNNNNNNNNNNNNNNNNNNNNNNNNNNNNNNNNNNNNNNNNNNNNNNNNNNNNNNNNNNNNNNNNNNNNNNNNNNNNNNNNNNNNNNNNNNNNNNNNNNNNNNNNNNNNNNNNNNNNNNNNNNNNNNNNNNNNNNNNNNNNNNNNNNNNNNNNNNNNNNNNNNNNNNNNNNNNNNNNNNNNNNNNNNNNNNNNNNNNNNNNNNNNNNNNNNNNNNNNNNNNNNNNNNNNNNNNNNNNNNNNNNNNNNNNNNNNNNNNNNNNNNNNNNNNNNNNNNNNNNNNNNNNNNNNNNNNNNNNNNNNNNNNNNNNNNNNNNNNNNNNNNNNNNNNNNNNNNNNNNNNNNNNNNNNNNNNNNNNNNNNNNNNNNNNNNNNNNNNNNNNNNNNNNNNNNNNNNNNNNNNNNNNNNNNNNNNNNNNNNNNNNNNNNNNNNNNNNNNNNNNNNNNNNNNNNNNNNNNNNNNNNNNNNNNNNNNNNNNNNNNNNNNNNNNNNNNNNNNNNNNNNNNNNNNNNNNNNNNNNNNNNNNNNNNNNNNNNNNNNNNNNNNNAUAUAGCCAUGGGCCUAUGACUCUUGGGGUAUCAUUGCUAAUUAAUAUUAUUUAUGUAUUAAUUCCGAAUUUUAUUUAAUUAUUAAAUAUGUUAAUUGUUAAGUAAUUGUUAGAUAGUUAAUUAGCAGUUAAGUUUGGUUUUGAACGGGUGUGUUGGUUGGGAUUGAUUAACUGCCAGUAUGAAACCUAUAAAUACAUCACCAAAUAUCACAUUUAAGGAUUAGACAAACACUCACGUAUUCUUCCUAUAUUUUCGGAUUCUACAUUAAUGAAGGGAACUAACUGAAUUUCAUCAAAAUCAAGAUCGUAUAUUGAUUAGAUUGUUGUAUCCUCUAGAUGGAUCCCUGUUAGAAAAAUUCCUGUUUUAGGACACUGCAACUUCACAUGCUUCACUCUCUACACAAAUUCGAGUUUGUAAUAUGUUGUAAUCUACACUCAAGUACGUUUUUCUUAUGAAUUAAUUCUUGUAUAUUACAUCUAAUUCAAUUUCGUUUUGUAUUACAUCUAUUGUUUUUGUCUAUUGUACUUCUAGCAUAACAUUAGGCUAUAUUUAUUACACGAGAAUGGACAAGUUUUCUUAGCUUUUUAUGUCAAUGGCAUAGGUCCCGAUCCUCGUCAAAUCAUACAUAUAGUCGACCUAUUAUAUUUUAACUUGUCUAACUUACAAAAUGGGGACUUAACAUAAUAUCAUAUAACAUACCGUUGAGAUUUGGUAUACAAGAUAGUAUUUAGUAUUGAGAUCUAAAAUUUAUUGAAGCACCACCGGCAAAGUUGAAACGUACCGUGGGAAAUAUACCAAUAUAGAAAUAACGAAAAAAUAUAAUGAUUAAAUACUAAAAAUAUUUAUUUUAUCGAAUAAUAAAAAAGAGCAUUAACACUCUGUUAGUGUCAAAAAUGAUACUAACAAAAAUGAUAUAUGAAAGUUAAAAGUAGAUAUAACAUUUUGUAGUAUUUUAAGUCUAAAGUUGUUGUAAAGAAUUGGCGAUGGACUCAUGGACAUUAAACUAGUAAGGACCAAAAACAAAGGAAGAUACAUGUCAAUAAAAUACAUAACGUUAAAUAAUUAAUUGACAUAAAUAGAGAUUAAAAUGAAAAUGAAUUAUUUUGACGGUUUACACAUGCACUUGCUGUUCUACUCUUAUAUCUACACAUAUCAUCCCAACUCGAGGCUUGAACCCUCACUUUUUUUACCGAUACCGAUAGACACCUAUCAGUCAAAUCUUGAUACCGGUAGCCUAAUACUAAUUUGGUUUAAAAUGAUAUUUAACUAAUAUAAUUGGUAGAUGUCGGGGGAGCUAAAAGGAGCACUCCACAUAAUGCUAGGGAAAUCAAAUAUUUAGAAAAAUGAGUUUUACAUUUCAACAUUAUGUUCACACACACACGCACAUAUGUUAAGGAUAAGUAUAUGUGGCGAAGCACGACAAAUAUAUCUAUAUAUGUGGUGAAGCACGACAAGUAUAUAUUGGUUUAAACUAAUUGGAAGUACAACUCAUUUGGAUCUACUAAUGGCGACAAUAAGCUUUACCGGCGACAUUUUGAUCAAUAACGAGGGACAGUAGCAGCGACUUGUCUCCAUUAUUACUUUUAUUGGUGACUAAGCAAACUCUUUGCGGUGCUUUUUUGUCGCCGCUAAUAAUCGUUUUUUCUUGUAGUGGAUAAAGUCCUAAAAUCAACAAAACUAUCCUAAAAAUUACAUACAUUUUAAAUUAAUAAAACUAUCUCAAAAUUAAUAUAUAGAUUUUUAACAAGGGAUAUGGGAAAAGUGUAACAACAAAUAACGACAAAGCUUUAUUUGCACUAAAGCUAUGAUGAAAUAAAACAAGUGAAGAUAAUGAUGUGUGUAAGGGUUUUUACAAAAAUAAAGGAAAUAAACAUAAGGGUAUUUAGAUAAGGGUGUUGGGUAUGGGCAACGCCCUAUGGGCGUCAGGGGCGGAUCCAAGGGGUAUCCCGGGGUAGCCUGGGAUACCCCUCAAAAAAAUUUCGGUAGUGUAAAUUUUUAGAAAAAUAAAUUGUUUUAUUUAGUGUAUAUAUACCCAUCCAUUCACUUAUAAGCACAAACAAAUAGUUAGUCUACUGGUUAAGGUGUUGGCUUGAUGAAAUAAAAGUCUCAGAUCAAUUCUUGUUCCUUACAAAUCAUUUGUUUACAUUUCUUUUAUUUUUCCAGCUAUUUUAUUCUUUUAUUUUCCUAACUAUUAUAUCCCACAUUGCCAAACACAUGUAAACUUAGUUAUUUUCAUCUAUUAUAUAAGUUUGUUAUCCUAAUGCUUUAUUUGAUAUCUACUUUAAGUCCACAUGGAUUGAAGUAUCAAAAGAUACUUCAAUUUCAUGUUUAUAUAACAGUACUUGAAGUUAGCUAAUGAUUCGAUUAAGGUUUGGGUUUAAAACCAAAACCAAACCAGGAAACCCAAGUACAAAUUGAAAACUGAAAAACCAAACCAAUGGUAUUGGGUUCGGUUUGGUUUAAAAUUUUCAAAACUGAGGCUAUUGGUUUUGGGUUCGGUUUUAGGAAAAACUAACCCAACCCGCCCAAUGCUCAGCCGAUGCGGUGAUACCCAGAAAAAAAAAUGGGAUACCCCUUUACUUUGAGUCUGGCUCCGCCACUGAUGGGUGUUAUAACACACAAAAACAGCCCUCUUUACCUUUUUUGGGUGUUAUACAUCCGCUGUUGCUUCCCGUUGCCACCAUCACCUUCGUUUAACUCUGUUUCUUUGUUUUUACCAAAAAACGCCGAUGUGGGCGUUGACCACAUCGACCAGCUUAAGGAAUUAAGGAAAGGAUUUUGGAGAAUUGAUUCUACAAGCUUACAAAAAUAUUUGGUCAAGAAAAGGAACGGUCUUCAAGGUAUGGUUUAAUGGAUAUUGAUUUCAAUAAAUAGAGAGUGAUAUACGAACCAACAAUAACUCAAAAGAAGACAAAUUGUUUAAAAAGGGGAAGAGAAGGUUGAUCACGUAGGUACUUACAAAAGUGAAGGAAAGAAACAUCAUGAUAUCAAAUGAUGGUACAUGAAUCAAAUUUCUAUUCUAAAAGGGAUGUAUGAGUUCUAAGAAGGAUUAAAGUUGAUGCAUGAAAAAAGUUUUAUUUUAUUUUAUUUUAUCUUUAUCCAGUUUUCAAGAAGGGUUAUAGGGUGUCAAUGGAAUGGUCACAUGUGGCUACUUUCGUUCUUUCGUUAAUGUUAAACAGGUGGAUAAGGAUGAUGGGUUGAAAUUAAACACUAAAAGAAGGAAGAGAAGAUAUUUGUGAAAAAGAAAAAUAUAGAAUCAAAGAAGAUAAACAAAAGAACAAAUGGAACGGUGUAUAUGAUAGGUUUUUCACCUUGUGUUGCAAAGGAGUACACAUGAAGAAAUCACAAAACAAACGUACAAUCAUUAAAGUAUUAAACAUCCAAGAUUUGAGGACAAAGGAAGAAGUAACUCAAGCCUAGAUUAAGGGGUAUGUUGAAAUGUAAUCUACAUUUUGGAUUAAUAUAUGGUAAUUUCAUAGCCGUGUUAUCGAAGUUAACUUCUGUGUAAAGAAAGCUUCAUGCACACACUAUACUUGUAAGUUCUUAUUUUGAGGAUCAACUCCAACAAACUUCACAAGUGUUUCAAUUUUCAAAAUUUAUCCUUUAUCAAAUGCCAAUAAGAGUAAAAGCUAGAGAGAAAGAGAGAAGGUUGCAAGCUGAGAUAGAAGAUUAGGAAACUAGGAGAUGCCAUUGAUUCUCUUCUAAUUUGUUUUGGAUAUGGUGUCCAGUUCUUGAUGAUAGUGAAUAUAUAGAGGAAGAGACUUUAUAUAAAGUAUAAAGGAUGACCAUGAAGUUUCGUGUAGACCUGGCAAUUUGCUACAUGACACGAUUAACACGAUACGAGUUUUUCGUGUAUGUGUUUUAGAAAUUCGUGUUUCGUGUUUAUUUGUGUCUGACACAUUUUAAAUUCAUGUUUCGUGUCUUACACGUGUCAAACACAAAUUUACAUGUUUAGACACGUAUAAGACACGAUACAAAAUCAUGUUGACAUGUGAUACGUACAAACACACACACACACACACACACAUAUAUAUAUAUAUAUUAGGGUUAAAUUUUAUAUUUACAAUAUAUUAGGGAACAAUUUCAUAAAACACAAUAAUUAGUUUAUAUCCCUAGCUUUAAAAAAAAGCCAUUAAAAACGUGACUAUUCGUGUCGUGUCACGUGUCACACGAAUUUUUUACAUGUCGUGUUCGUGUUUGAUACCCCAAACACGUUUUAUAAUUCGUGUCGUGUUUGUGUUUAACAAAUUCAUAUCGUGUAAAUUCGUGUGUGACACGAAUACACGACACGCAGACACGGAUUGCCAGGUCUAGUUUCGUGGAACCUUCCUUAUAACUUCCUUCGUCACUUCAACAAUGUGAAUGUGUUUAAUGGAAAAGUAACAAAAAAUAUAUUUAUUACAAGAAAUUAAGUGAACUGUUAUUUCUUUUUGAUGCAAUAACAUCAUUUAUUUUUAUAAACAACAAAUAGACAAAAAAAUGUUCACCUUUCCUUGCUUUUAUGUAACAUACAUUCAAAAUCAUGGAAACGAUAAUAAUUAUUUAUUAUUAUUAUUAUUUAUGUUGAAAUUUGGAGAUUGAUUAUAUAAAACUACUUAUCAAAUUAUUCAAAAAUAAAUUUUUUAUUUUUCUAUUAUAGUGAAUUUUUGGACAACAUAUUUCAUGUACAACAAUAUAUCAUGAUCAUAUGUCCAUAUGUUAACACUAAUUGUGGGAUAUCAAAAGAAUAAUAAUAAGUUUAAGAUGAUGAUUAGGCUGCAACAAUCGAAAGAAUGCAACUUAAGAAGAUGAAAACUCUGAAGAUUAAAACCAAUCGAGAUUUAGUAAUUAAAAAGUAAGGUGUUUUCUUUUUAGGAACAAAGUCAAUCAUGUGGUCUUUGGUAAAAAAAUAAAAUGAGUUUCUCUACAACAAAAGAUAAAAAGGAGUACAAGGCUUUAUUAAAAGAAGGGUAGUAUGGUCUUUUGACAAAAAAACAUGGAUGGGAAUUGUUUCUAACCUUAUUAAAUGAGGAAAUCGUACAAGAAUAUAAUAAUGAAAAGAUCACUAUUUAGCAUGUGCCAUGGUGUACUAUUUGAUUUAUGCAAAGAUGAUGAUAACGUUUUAUCUUGAAAACAAAAGCUUAAAGUGGUAUUUCCAAAUACGAAAAGCUUUUUAUCUCUCUGUUAAAUUAUUAUGAAAACCUUUGUAUAUUGUAUUAUUUACUAGAUAUUUGAUAUAUAAUCUAUAGAAUACAAAUAAAACCUAAUCGUUAGUGAUCAAUUAGUAAUUAUUCCUCUCUUCGAUUAUUGUAAAAAAUGUGUACAUCAAAAUUUAUAAUAUCGUUAGUGAUCAAUUAGUAAUUAGUAGACAUACAUACAACAAAAAGUAAAUAUAAUCGAUAUAAGAGCAAUUAGGAGAAAAGUUUUUACUUGAUUUUUUCCAAAAGAGUCAACAAGAAAUGCAAAUUUAAAGAUCUACUACUAAUAUAUAAAAUCAUGACUAAAUUAUAAUACUCUUUUCCUAAGGAUUACUCUGUAUUUAUGAAGUUACUUCAGUUUAUUAAAAAGAAAAUUUUAAAUAAAUUUACGAAGAGAGAUAUAAAUUCAAUAGAAUCCUUAAAUGAAAACCAUAAAAGGGGCUCAAUUGAAGACAUAAAUACGAACAGGAUAUAAAAAUAAACAUUUUAAGAAAGAGGAAAAGAGCUCUUGAAAUGAGGAAGUAAGAUCACGCACCUAAUUGUUGAUUAACAAGGAUAUAAGUUGAUAAUGGUGGAAUUAGCUUUGAAAGAAAGGUUGUGGACUUGUGGGGUUCAUUCAGGAAUUUCGUCGAACAGGUCAUGGACAGAUAAAUUAACAAAAAAAAAAAUACACGUUCAACCAUGAUCAUCGAACAGCCUAACCAUGAGUUGACGCAAGAAAGAAACUUGAUUAGAAAUACAAACAAGGCCGGUCGAUUUCCGGCCAAAUAUUAAUCGAUCUUACUUGUGAGUGGUGACCGGAGAGCGGAGACCCGGAUCUCCUUUUUUUCCCCAUGUGUUCUUCCUGCAACCAUGUCCACCACCCGUUUGAUCAAUUGCAAUCUGGACACAGUUAUCGAUAACACUGAUUUUUCAUAUAAAUGCUUCCACAGAGGCUGCUGAUGAGGACGUUUGGUGCAUCGGUGGCGAAGUUAAGUUGGUGGGCUUUCAGAAGAGAGAUUGUUCGCCGGCAAAGGAAGUGUAGAUGAAGAGGGAGAAAGGAAAGCAGAUGAAGAUGAAGUGCAGUGUAUCUCAGAUGAGUGGGGAUUAAAUUCCCCUUUGUAGAACCAAACACGUGAAUAGAUUCUACUUUUUAGCGUUUCUUUUUAUGUUGGAAAUGUUUUUUAAA